GAGACCGUACCGCAAACCGACACAGGUGGGCGAGAUGAGUAUUCUAAGGCGCUUGAGAGAACUCGGGAGAAGGAACUCGGCAAAUUGGUACCGUAACUUCGGGAUAAGGUACGCCUCGGUAGCUUGACCACUUUACUGUGGAAGGGCGAAAAGGUUGCAAUAAACUGGUGGCUGCGACUGUUUAAUAAAAACACAGCACUCUGCAAACACGAAAGUGGACGUAUAGGGUGUGACGCCUGCCCGGUGCUGGAAGAUUAAAUGAUGGGGUG
rnacentral:rRNA from 1 species